CUACGGGCCGCAGCAGUGAGGAAUAUUGGUCAAUGGGUGCGAGCCUGAACCAGCCAUCCCGCGUGCAGGAUGACGGUCCUAUGGAUUGUAAACUGCUUUUCUAUGCCAAGAAACCUGAUUACGUGUAAUCAGUUGCCGGUAGCAUAGGAAUAAGCAUCGGCUAACUCCGUGCCAGCAGCCGCGGUAAUACGGAGGAUGCAAGCGUUAUCCGGAUUCAUUGGGUUUAAAGGGUGCGCAGGUGGGCUUGUAAGUCAGUGGUGAAAUGCUGCCGCUUAACGGUAGAACUGCCAUUGAUACUGCGAGUCUUGAGUAUGGUUGAGGUAGGCGGAAUGUGUUGUGUAGCGGUGAAAUGCAUAGAUAUGACACAGAACGCCAAUUGCGAAGGCAGCUUACUAAGCCAUUACUGACGCUGAGGCACGAAAGCGUGGGGAGCGAACAGGAUUAGAUACCCCGGUAGUC
rnacentral:rRNA from 1 species